UGGGAUGUGGCUCAAGUGGUAGCGGGUUCACUUUGUGUGAGUAGGGUGCUGGGUUCGAUCCUCAGCACCACAU
rnacentral:tRNA from 1 species